rnacentral:rRNA from 1 species
ACGUAGGAGGCGAGCGUUGUCCGGAUUCAUUGGGCGUAAAGAGCACGUAGGCGGUUUGGCAAGUCGGAUGUGAAAACCCGGAGCUCAACUCCGGACCUGCAUCCGAAACUGCCCGACUAGAGGUAGGUAGGGGAGAUCGGAAUUCCUGGUGUAGCGGUGAAAUGCGCAGAUAUCAGGAGGAACACCGGUGGCGAAGGCGGGUCUCUGGGCCGAUACUGACGCUGAGGAGCGAAAGCGUGGGGAGCGAACAGGA